rnacentral:lncRNA from 1 species
CGGAGCUGAUUGCUCGUCGGAACCGGAAGUGUCGCCAUCCACGCUGCUCUCACCCUCCAGCAUCGAUGCCUCGCUGGGAUAUUCGAAGAUAGCAGUCGAGCUGAUUCGAAAAUAAGUAAGCGCCAUCUGAAACAAUUUAUAUAUCGCUUGGAACAAAAAUAUUUAAGUCAAAUACAGACACCAAUAUGUCUGCAAUCGUAACGAGGAGGAAAACGGAAAAUAAAGCAAGCCUUUGUUAUAACGGCUGAAUGUAUUGCAGCACGCGACCAUUAAGGAAGAAAACGGUUCUGCUCGAUGGAAAGAGGCACGCGUACGUCUUUUGUGGCUUGUAUCGCGCAAUACGCGUAGUCAGCUACAAAUAAGACACGGGAAGAGCAAACAACGGCAUGCAGCUUGGAAUAACAGUAACCCGUCACACUCGAUGCUUUUUCGACUAUGAGCGAGGACAUCGCCUCCUCGUUCGCUCCUUCUCGGCGAGCACGAUCAAAAGAGAAAGCAAUUCUUCUACAGAGCCGAUAUAAGAAAUCUCCGUUUACUCGACAACGAUAUUUUGAAUCUUCGCAGAAGAAGAAGAAUGAAACACUAAAUAAUUGUAUUCAUCCAACACUAGUUCGCAGAUGAUUCUUUGAUUUAAGUACCAUUUUAUAGCAAUGUAAACGAAUUUCCUUUCGUAAGAUUAGAAAAUUGAUAGCAUAACGGAAGAUUACAUUCGAGUAUUAAGAACGUUACAGCCCUAACUAGAGUUACAAUGGUCCAGAUACCUACUGGCCGCAUAAGAAUUGAAAAGCAGCGAGAAAGUAAAUAAUAAAGAGAAAAGAUAAACGGAAAAAAUGACAGUUGUCAAUAAACGGAAAAUGAGCGAUGUUGUCCAAAAGCAAAUAUCAAGAUGGAAAGUUGCGUGACAGGACACGAGGACAAGCGCGGUUAAAGCGUGCAACGAGUGUCAAAUCGGCGAGUGUUCCCCCGAAGUCGGAUGCACGGAAACCAUCGAGGCCUACGCUGAUUGGUCGACGGUAUAUUGAUUUUCACGAAGAAACUGGCGAACCGAACUACCCUCAAAAGAGAGUAAACCUUUUGUGUCGCGCGCUUGCUUUCUCGACCAUAAAAUCAACCUCGGAACGUGGAGCCAGCGAGUUUCCGCUUCGAGUUCGCGCGUGCUCAUCGAUAAAGGUUUACGAGCAAAACUUUGCUGAAAGAGGUAAAUGCUCCGAGCUUCUGAACAAGCUGGUAAAAACCAUCUUUCUUUCGUCGUAUUAUCGAUGGAACAGCCUUGGAUGCUCUUUAACUUCGAGACAUAAACACGUAGUUUCGAUCGUUUUGUUGCAGUUCGUAUUACAACGAUUUGGUGCAACUAAUUUUAUUUAUUCUAUUACAAAAUGUCCGUUUCCUUCGAUGGAAAUUACUUAAUGGACCAUCGAAAUCGCGCUAGCAAUAAUAAUCAGAACAACGUUAAUGUCUACUUAUUUCCAGACGCUUCUUCGCGCGACCAUCAAUUUCAACGAUUAUCCGAGAAUCAAUUCGGAAGGUUCUUCGAACAGAUCGACUCGUUCUCGCGGGCUCGUUAAAAAAGACAUAAGGCGGCAAGGAAUCUCGGUAACGACGUCGUUUCGUUCUGCUUUACAUCUUUACGGCCGCUGAAAAAACAUUCGUCUUGUUUCGAGAACGCGUUUUUGCCGUAGGCUAUGGGCCCGUUUCUCCUCGACGCGAAUUCGACCGUCGGAUCAACGGUCUCGAGAAAUCGUUCAGCUGCUAGAUCCUAGAUUCUCUGUAUCCUUACGUUUUUAUAUUCUUGAAAAGUUUAUCAAAUGAAAUUUCGGUAUUUAUACAGAAUAUGUAAGUUAAGGAUGUCGAGUUAAUCAGAAUGUUGACCUUGAUAAAAUAUUUCAAGGUAAUCGAAAUCGAUAAGAUCCCCUUUCUCUGUAUAAUUAUCGAAGUUUUUAUUUGUACAUUGACAAUCGUUUGAAGAACCGAUUAUUCCAUUUUGCUGCGACUUCCUUUUCCUGCAUAGAACCUUUUGUUCCAAAAUUGUAGCAGGUACUCAGCUUGCUUUUAUCCGUGCUCUCAAUUGUUGCUCAGUCUCGUGCUAUCUUUACGCAACGGUUAAAACGUUAAAAUCCUUCCGAACAAUCGUCCUGUAUAUGAAAAAAGAAAUUGGACAAUCGCUCAAAUACUGUUGGUAUCGUCGAAUAAUUCUCGAGAUGCUACUUAACGAACUGCGUCGCGUCGUUCGUGCAGAAGCGCACAAAACAAUGCGUUGCUUAUCGAUCGCGAGAAAGGAAACCGUUUAUCGUUGCGGACAAUAGAAAGAGGAAACUAAAACGGGCUUUUACGUAUUACACGUUACAUUUUGCGUUCUACAUGUGCCGGCUCGUGACGCGUUUAGAAGAAUGCGGUCACGUCGCGUUUCCUUCCGAAACUUCGACCAAACGUUCAGUGACAAGAAACACUAGGUAAUCUAUUGGCGGGUGUAAAUUCUGCUUUCAAGUUCACUCGUGAACAGCAUGUUGCUUCGCAUCUUCUUACCGAGGAAUGUGCUCGACCUGCAUCGUCAUGUAGUAAGGUCGUCCGACGCGUAUGCAAAUGAAGAAAUAAUGUCAACACUCGUGGUCGAGGACAAUUCGUCAUUGGGGUAACGGUAUUUCAAACAGAUUCAUUCGAUGCUCGCUAAAUAGCCUUGUAAUCAAUAAAAAAUUUGUUUUAAUUACUCCGUUACGGAUGUACCGUGAAUCAUAGGGAUAGGUCAUCUCGAUGCGAUCGCUUCCUCGUUCUUCGGAGGCUACCGUCGCAUCGGUGCACAUUGAUCGAUGCUUCUACUUACACGCGAAACCGAAAGCUUCCUUUCUGAUCUCCGCUUUGCUGUUCGAAAUAUAAUUUUGAAAACUACUAUAUUGUUAUGUAAAAUAUAGUAUAUCGUACAUUACGACGCGCAUGUAACUAUAGUAACGUUUAAUUGAUAAUAUUAGGCUUAAAACAACCAGCAUAGCACGGGUUUUUUAACGAGAUAGACUAUUUAACGGUUCGCAAACGUAAUUAUAACGAGGGGUUUUCCUUAACGAAGCGAGAUUAGAAAUUCAAAUAAAUUUAGCGAGCUUAAGCGAAGCAGAGAAAAAGAAUCUUUCUUAGUACCUCGAGAAGUUAAAAUUGACUUUCGUAUUUUUUUCGCCACGCAGAGCGUGCCGAGACGCUGCAACCGUAUCACAAUCAACACCGAGAAUUACCGAGACGAGCAAUUUUCUCGGGAAUGAAACGGUUUUGCAAUUGUUGCGAGAGACGACCACCGGAGCUGCACGAAACUGUGACAAAAUGCUUUAUUUUCUACGGUACUUUGUUUUUGGCAUAAAAUCUUCGAUAUCGUAGUUCAUUUUUGAUAUACAACGAGGUAAAUUUAUUCGCGGCAACGUACGUGAUUUUGCCGCGUCUUAGCACGCUUCAAACUCCAUUCUCCUUAAAACAACGUUGACGCAAAGCAAAACGUCGUAAAGUAUCUCGUAAAAUUUAUCUUCAUGGCGCGAAAGCAUAUGGUUCUGAACGGUGUAUUCGCGUAGAAAUCUGUCGGACGCAAGAAACAACGAACCGACCGGUCGCUUUUCACUGCUAUAUUUUAAUUUUAUGAAACCUAAAGGAAUUCUAACGGUGAAAAAUUGCCAGGUCGAGAUGAUACGUUGCUCAACGCGUCUACAUCCCAAGCUGGAAAAAAGCAAGUAAAAAUUGCUCAACGCCUAGUUGCUCAAUUGUGCUUAAUACGUUCGUGGUUUCUUUCUUAUGCGUCGCCAUUUUAGUACCACUGUUUUUCUACUAAUUUAAAAACCAUCAGGUUUCAUUGCUAGAAUGAGCGUUUCUCAAUAACGAUAUUGUUAAUAAUACGAUAGUCGACGUAUCGUCGAUACCUUUCAAAAUGACCAGCCUUUCUUGUUCUUCGAGUUAGGUCAAUUUAAUGCUCGAGGUUACCACUGGCUAUACAUAGGUACUGCAGUCGACAAAUUAUUAGUCAGCGGAGUAAAAAGGUAUCGAUCCUUCGCUCGGUGCGGUUCAAUUCGUUACAGUUAACGCUGUUCGAGGUCGAAAACCGUAUCGAAAAGAAAAAUAUCGCCAACAACACGCUGAUAAGGUAUCGACAUGUCCCCGGAUCUCUGGUGAAGCUGCGCUAACGAAACAUUAAGAAUAUUUUUAUUCCGUCUCGCAGAUCCAAAAUCUUCGAACGGUACGUAAACACUAACUGUCGUAAAUUUAUUCGUUCGAGAAGCGUUUCUUGCACCUUGCGGUACGAAAACAUCGCCAAAAAGAUAUUUUACUGAUAAGGUGCUGCUUAUCAAAGCCAGCGUCGUAAAACUAUCGCGAAUUAACCGACAGUAAUACGUACGUGGAAGCCGUAAACGUUCUUCCGAAUUAACGAAACGGUAACUAAUAAUUACGUCGAAAAUCGUUGGGCGAUAACGAAGCUCCACGACGCUUAUUGUAUAAUUGAGACGCGCAAAACGAAACCGAUUACAUUUAUUUCGAAAUACAUUCGUGUGCCGUUCUCCGAUGACGAGACUUUGUAACUGCACGCUUUUAUUUGCUGACUCGGUGGAAAUUUUGAUUUGUUGACAAUCGUCAGCGAUUCUCUUCUGCUGUCCUUGUUUGUAAAUAGGCCGCGAAUUCGAAAUUUUUGUUUACACGAUCUCCAUUUGUCUCUUUCUCGAUAACGGUCACCUUAUCUUUUCGAAUAUUCUACAUAAUUCGAAUGAUUGAUCAGAAACGCGAGCUUAACGUAAAAUUGGGAUCUGUAAUAACAUUUGUAUCGUGAAAUUACGUUACAGGACAUUUUGAUUACGUCACAGGAGGUAUAAUCAGCGACAGUUCGUAGAUUAGGUACUGACGACGAUGUCAAUUUUUUGUAUAAGCAUGUUUUGGAAAACAUGUCGGUCAAGUUUAGUCAAAAUCAGUGGGUUUUAAUAGUCAGAAAAGAGGCUACUAAAAGAUUAAGGGAAUGAUAAAAAUUUUGGACCUUGGAAUUUUGAAACUGGGUUUUUGUUUUUCUUAGUACGACAAAUAUUUAGGGAUAGUUUGUCGAGUGCUUUGUUCUUUCACUUCAAUUUACAUACUAAUCAGUAUAUGUACCUCUUCAUGAUACAUACAAGAAAGUGAUAGUGGCGAACCGAAUCGAAAAGGAUUUAGCAUCGGUUUUCUGUGUGUAAGUCGAACAAGGUGUUAAAUCAAGCGUCGAGAGUUGUACGCUGUGUCGAUAGCUCUGAAACAACGCCUCGUCGAUAGCACGGAACAACGACCGCGUUUUCUAGUCGAGAAUUAUUCGACGAUAAUUCGAAUUCCGUGUCUUGUAAUAGAGACUGUCUCUAUCGGAUCGAUACGCUCGAUCGGACGUCGGAAUAAAUCCGAAGAAAAUACGACGCAUCGACGGGGAACAAUCGAUUCGGGGGAUAUCGAUUUUUCUCGGAUAGCUUGGAAGAUCGAUCGAUGGACAAUGAGCGUGACGAAGCGGGGCUCGGACUUGUACCGACCGCUUUUAAGAUGGAAAUAUUCUCAGCCGCGUUUUCUCUACGAACGCUACCGUCCCGAGGAACUUUCGAAUAUGCAAAUUCUCUCCUUUUACCGGUUUCCAUUUUUUCAUAUCGCUCGUUACGUAACGUUAUUAAAAGUGAUCUUACACGCCAGGCUAAUUGCACGAUGCGAUUGAAACAAACAACUAAGCUGGGCGGAGCAUCGUGAAAUCGAAUUAUCCGUCGAUGAAUUAUAGCGUGAAACGGGAGUACGAGAUAGUUUCCUCCAAGAGAAUCUUUCCAUUAGAUUUCUUUUUCAGACGAUCGUUGCAGCUGAAGAUGAAUGCACCAAGAUACUGCGCGAUAUCGUAUCGCUUUUCAAAAGAUAACGUUCGAAAAAUAUAUCUUGGAUUCAGAAUUUUCCCCCUCAAAAUGGUUCCUCGAAUUUCAAUCGUUUAGCGACAAGAGCGCGGAACGGAAUCGCUCGUUCUGCCGCGUUCCCAUGAAACACGCUAGAUUAACUCUUUUGACGAGCUGCUCGAAAAUCGUUGCCGGUUCGUGCAUCUACUACUUUUACUUUACAAAUCGACAUUGGCAACAGCCGAGGUUUACUGGUUCGUCGUUGGAGCAGUGUCGGUAUUAAACCCGUGAGAAAGUCAUUCCAGAAACAUUUCCGACUCUAACGAGAACAAUCAUCAACGUUCGUUACAAGAAAAAAUAACGCUUAUUCUUUAGAACUUUCGGUCGAUUAAAACUGUUUAACAAUUUAGUACGCAUGGUUAAAAUUUUGGUUAUAAAUUAGGAAAGAAUUCUGAAACAUUUUAGGGACGUGUGUGUAUCAUAGGAUGUGGAACGUUGGCGCCGUCUUUGGGGAACGGUUUUAGGUUUUAACUACGUUAGGGCAUAAUUUAGUCCGUGUUUCAACACGUGUUCCACAUCCCCAGGAAAGUUAAGCAACGACGAAAAAGAAAACGGUCCAAGAUGAUCUCUUUUUAAAAUUCAACCAUAAUAACGUUAAAAUUCUUAUACGGUAAAGCAGAUUCGACAAUCAGUCGAUGAAUUGAAAACUAAUCGAUCUUUGCAGCAAUUCAAGAACAAUUGCUUUUCCAAUAUCGACUCGCUUACGAGAGAAGUUGGAUCAUGAAAAUUAAUGAUCUGCCUGUUAUAGCAUAUUAAUUAUAUAGGACGGAUAUCUAUAUACUGUCUGUCAUAGAAAGUAUAGACUUGGAUAAAAUGUAUGGCAAGAUUGUAUACCGUUGUGGGAAACAAUGAAUACACUGUGUAGAAGCCACAGUUAUCCGUACAUGUUGACACGAGCAAUGACGCUAUAAAGACGGAGCGUUUAGCGUUAAUUGUAUAGAAUCAAAGAUGAUUUACACGGCUAUAUAUUCGAAUAUACACACAGAUAACUUAUCGCGCUGACAAAUAGUAGUUACGUCGAUCGUGCAAGUUGUGUCGUUAUCCUCCCAAGUUUAUCCUGCGAAUAAAAGUUUCGGAACAAACAAUCGCACGUUGUACUGCCACGCGUUGGAUCUCCACGUGUUGGAAUAUCGCUCGUUACAUUUCUACGAGACAGAACUUUUACGGGUGAUAUCUCUAC